UGAGGAAUAUUGGUCAAUGGGCGCGAGCCUGAACCAGCCAAGUAGCGUGAAGGAUGACUGCCCUAUGGGUUGUAAACUUCUUUUGUCCGGGAAUAAAACCGCCUACGUGUAGGCGCUUGUAUGUACCGGUACGAAUAAGCAUCGGCUAACUCCGUGCCAGCAGCCGCGGUAAUACGGAGGAUGCGAGCGUUAUCCGGAUUUAUUGGGUUUAAAGGGAGCGCAGGCGGGAAACUAAGCGGAUCUUAAAAGUGCGGGGCUCAACCCCGUGAUGGGGUCCGAACUGGUUUUCUUGAGUGCAGGAGAGGAAAGCGGAAUUCCCAGUGUAGCGGUGAAAUGCUUAGAUAUCACGAAGAACUCCGAUUGCGAAGGCAGCUUGCUAAAGUGUAACUGACGUUCAUGC
rnacentral:rRNA from 1 species